rnacentral:lncRNA from 1 species
GUAAGUCUAGCUCCUAUGAUUUCAAAGAUGCAGAGUGUGGUACAUCUUUAUUUGAAUGCAGGUGCUUUCUGCCUUGUUUACUUCAGACAGUUGAAUGUCUAUAGUGGUUAGCACUGAUGAUUUGUAAGCCUAUGAAUGAUGCCCAAAACUAAAUGUCUCUUGAGUACAGUAGAGCCUAUAUUCUAGUCUCCAUGAAUAUUAGGGCAGUGUGCCAACUAAAGCUGGUUUAAUUCUGCAAGCAGGAGCCCUUUGCAGAAUGAUUCGUGGUAAUUAACCAAUUCAAAGUGCAAUAUUUUCUUUUCAUUAAUUUGGCAGAAAACAACUAAAUAUCUACGGCAAGACUGUUUUUGACAUAUUCAUUUGCUGCUUGGAAAAUAAUGGAUAUUUUGAAUUAGGCUAUAAAAGAAAGCUGUUAGGAUUUUUGUCAUUUGCAUUUUAAAUUUCUAACAAAAAGUAGAUUUCUCAAUUAGCAAUUAAAAAAAGUAGGAUAGUUGGCUGCAGGAGUGACUAGAGCUGAUUCACAUCUUGAAUCGAUUGACUUGCAGGAGAUUCUUAGGGAUUUAUUGGCUCAGACCUAUUGCUUUGUACAUCUACUUCCCUUUAUGUCAUAAGAUUCUAUUGAUGGUGAUAGUUUCUUAUACUUCCUUUCUUCUCACGUUCAUUUCUACUCAUAUUGGAGAGCAUUUCUUUUUCUUGUUUCUUUGAGGUUAAAGAAUUUUUUUUUUUAACCUCAAAUCAUUUGAAGAAUUGUUAACUUUUUACUUUAAAAAAUGUACUUAGGGCCAGCCACCCAGCAUUGGGUAUUUUGAAUAAUUUCGGAACUAGCAGUUCAUUGAUGCAAAAAUUUUCCUGGAGGACUUAUAAAAGAAUUUAUUCAUUUUAGGAUAUCUUAGUUUCCAUAUAAAUAUUCUUAUUUGUGGAUAGUGUUUUUCCUUUCAUGAAAAAUGUUUUAUAAUUUUCAAAAUUUUACUAAACUGCAGUUAUUGAAUGAUUUCUUGGUUCAAUAUUUUCCUCUUCUUAUAUUUCGACACAUUUUCU